UAAAAAAUGUUAAAUAUUAAUAACUUUGAGAAAAUUUUAUAACUUUUUUUAUUUGAAAAAAUAUGCGCUGAUAGAUAUUUCUGCGCCUAUAAAAGUGUGGACAAUUGUUAAAUAUUCAUACAUUUUCAGUUUGACAUUAGUACGGGUUCCUAAUCCAUCGGGUGUUAAAGCAUUUUUCACAAGUAAUCGCAAUAUUAGCCAAAAAUGUCUAAUUGGAUAAGAUUUUUGGUGUUGUUUCUCAGCAUUUUAUUUGUCGCAGACACAAGUUUAAUACGUAAUCUGCCCAAGAGAGAUAGAAAUUCAUUGAGCAGUUCUGGGUCUUCUGAAAAUUCUAGUGGCGGUUCAAUGUUUUCUGGAUUAAGAAGAAGAAGAAGAAGCAGCAGCGGAAUGAGUGAUUCAUCUAGUCGAAGUCGGAGUUCACUCAGUAACGAAUCUUCAUAAAAGAGUCAGCAAUAUGGCUUUUACAACAUAAACUAGCAUAUGGCUGAAUUCCUCUAAAAAGUGAACGUCAUAUGUAACUUGUUUAUAUUGUAAUCCUGUAAUUUGUCUUAUUGACUGAUUUACUGAAUGAAUAAAUAAAUAAAAAAACUAA